UAGUAAGUAGUUCGCUUCCUGAUGCUUUAAUUAGUUUUUGGAUUUCGAUCUAAAUGAGAACACGUGCAAUGGUGGUUUGGAAAUAUUUGUCUUCUAACAUUGAAAAAGUUCGGUCUACAGCUGGAUGAUGAAAAUGUCUAGUUCAGUACGGGAUAAUGCUUUUUGGAAAAGAUCAACAUUUGGAGACUAACUGAAACUACACGGGAGUAUGGAAUUCAACUUGAGAAUUUUUAUAAGAUGAUGAAAGUCUGGUGAAAAGACCAUUCCUCAUAUUUAUAUAUUCGUUGUUGGAAAAAUCAGCGAGAGAAUUAAAAAAUCUCCAAGAGAAACUACCAUAUGGAUCAAAUGUUAGCUUCUGGCGUAGUUUAUACUACUAAAAAAAAUUGGAUCUGUUGGUAUAACCAGGAUAUUGAAGACCGAGAUGAGCAUUUAUUAGUAUAUGAAUAAACAAAAGUGUAUUGCAUUCAAUAAAAUAACAAAUAUAUGCAGCAA